ACACGGUCCAGACUCCUACGGGAGGCAGCAGUGGGGAAUAUUGGACAAUGGGCGAAAGCCUGAUCCAGCCAUGCCGCGUGUGUGAAGAAGGUCUUCGGAUUGUAAAGCACUUUAAGUUGGGAGGAAGGGCAGUAACUUAAUACGUUGCUGUUUUGACGUUACCGACAGAAUAAGCACCGGCUAACUCUGUGCCAGCAGCCGCGGUAAUACAGAGGGUGCAAGCGUUAAUCGGAAUUACUGGGCGUAAAGCGCGCGUAGGUGGUUUGUUAAGUUGGAUGUGAAAGCCCCGGGCUCAACCUGGGAACUGCAUUCAAAACUGACAAGCUAGAGUAUGGUAGAGGGUGGUGGAAUUUCCUGUGUANCGGUGAAAUGCGUAGAUAUAGGAAGGAACACCANUGGCGAAGGCGACCACCUGGACUGAUACUGACACUGANGUGCGAAAGCGCGGGGAGCAAACAGGAUUAGAUACCCUGGUAGUCCA
rnacentral:rRNA from 1 species